GACGAACGCUGGCGGCGUGCCUAAUACAUGCAAGUAGAACGCUGAAGAGAGGAGCUUGCUCUUCUUGGAUGAGUUGCGAACGGGUGAGUAACGCGUAGGUAACCUGCCUGGUAGCGGGGGAUAACUAUUGGAAACGAUAGCUAAUACCGCAUAAAAUUGAUUAUUGCAUGAUAAUUAAUUGAAAGAUGCAAUUGCAUCACUACCAGAUGGACCUGCGUUGUAUUAGCUAGUUGGUGAGGUAACGGCUCACCAAGGCGACGAUACAUAGCCGACCUGAGAGGGUGAUCGGCCACACUGGGACUGAGACACGGCCCAGACUCCUACGGGAGGCAGCAGUAGGGAAUCUUCGGCAAUGGGGGGAACCCUGACCGAGCAACGCCGCGUGAGUGAAGAAGGUUUUCGGAUCGUAAAGCUCUGUUGUAAGAGAAGAACGGGUGUGAGAGUGGAAAAGUUCACACUGUGAUUGUUCUACCA
rnacentral:rRNA from 1 species